rnacentral:rRNA from 1 species
UGCCCCUUUAGUUAGCGGCGAGUGAGCGGCAAAAGCUCAAAUUUGAAAUCUGGCACCUUCGGUGUCCGAGUUGUAAUUUGAAGAUUGUAACCUUGGGGUUGGCUCUUGUCUAUGUUUCUUGGAACAGGACGUCACAGAGGGUGAGAAUCCCGUGCGAUGAGAUGCCCAAUCCUAUGUAAGGUGCUUUCGAAGAGUCGAGUUGUUUGGGAAUGCAGCUCUAAGUGGGUGGUAAAUUCCAUCUAAAGCUAAAUAUUGGCGAGAGACCGAUAGCGAACAAGUACAGUGAUGGAAAGAUGAAAAGAACUUUGAAAAGAGAGUGAAAAAGUACGUGAAAUUGUUGAAAGGGAAGGGUUUGAGAUCAGACUCGAUAUUUUGUGAGCCUUGCCUUCGUGGCGGGGUGACCCGCAGCUUAUCGGGCCAGCAUCGGUUUGGGCGGUAGGAUAAUGGCGUAGGAAUGUGACUUUGC